GCUUACGGCCAUGCCACCCUGAGAACGCCCGAUCUCGUUUGAUCUCGGAAGCUAAGCAGGGUCGGGCCUGGUUAGUACUUGGAUGGGAGACCGCCUGGGAAUACCAGGUGCUGUAAACU
rnacentral:rRNA from 1 species